rnacentral:lncRNA from 1 species
CUUCUGAGGCAUCCAGACGUGUGCUGCUGAUGGGAGACAAGGACACAAUGAAAGGGGCUGCAAGGGGCAGAAGGCCUGGCCAGCAGAAACAAGGUGUCUCCCACAGGGAAAAUGGGAGGAUUUCCUCCAAGGAAAACCUGUCUGUAAAAGAGAAGGGAGGAGAUCGACAGCCCUCAGAAAGACAGAGAGAAAAACGAAGCAUGGAGACACAAGAGGGCUCUCAGGGCAAAGCAGAGGUCACCAGGCACAAGCGAUGCAGAAGCCGGGAUGGCUCCCCUGAGAGUCACAAGAGAAACAGCCAUGGAGAAGAGAAGGUGAGGGGAAGACCACCCCCAGCCCAGUGGAGAACUAAGGAGCAUCCAAACUCCUGCAGAGCAGGACUUUACUACAGAGCAGGUUCUGCCCAUACUUCCGGGCGUCUCCACGACAGGGGGCCCCGGUUCCGAUCGCCAGUGUGGGCCCGGGGCCAGAGACACUGCCAGUACAACCCGGAGUCCAGGCCCCCCUCGCCCAAG